GAGUUUGAUCGUGGCUCAGGACGAACGCUGGCGGCGUGCCUAACACAUGCAAGUUGUACGGGCUUGGGGGCAACUCCAAGUCAGUGGCGAACGGGUGCGUAACACGUGAGGAAUCUAACAUUCGGCGGGGGAUAGCCGGCCCAACGGCCGGGUAAUACCGCGUACGCUCUUCGAGGGGCAUCUCUUGAGGAGGAAAGCAGCAAUGCACCGAAUGGGGAUCUCGCGGCCUAUCAGCUAGUUGGUGAGGUCACGGCUCACCAAGGCGACGGCGGGUAGCUGGUCUGAGAGGAUGGCCAGCCACAUUGGGACUGAGACACGGCCCAGACUCCUACGGGAGGCAGCAGUGGGGAAUCUUGCGCAAUGGCGAAAGCCUGACGCAGCGACGCCGCGUGCGGGAUGAA
rnacentral:rRNA from 1 species